AGUGGGGAAUAUUGGACAAUGGGCGCAAGCCUGAUCCAGCCAUGCCGCGUGAGUGACGAAGGCCUUAGGGUUGUAAAGCUCUUUUGGCGGGGAAGAUAAUGACGGUACCCGCAGAAUAAGCUCCGGCUAACUUCGUGCCAGCAGCCGCGGUAAUACGAAGGGAGCUAGCGUUGUUCGGAAUCACUGGGCGUAAAGCGCACGUAGGCGGACUUUCAAGUCAGGGGUGAAAUCCCGGGGCUCAACCUCGGAACUGCCUUUGAUACUGUUGGUCUCGAGUCCGGAAGAGGUGAGUGGAAUUCCUAGUGUAGAGGUGAAAUUCGUAGAUAUUAGGAAGAACACCGGUGGCGAAGGCGGCUCACUGGUCCGGUACUGACGCUGAGGUGCGAAAGCGUGGGGAGCAAA
rnacentral:rRNA from 1 species